GUUGUCUUUUUCAAAUCCUACACAUGCAAUAUUAUAAUAUCAUUUCUUCAAAGAAUAUGGCAAUUUGAGCUGAUUUCAGAAACUUCUCCCAAAGUAAUGGAGGACCCUAUGGUAAAUUAUUUUCUCCUAUAUCACCUACAGUACAAAUUUCUCAAUUGUACAGGCACAUUUCAUACUUACAUAUUUCUCCAGGUAAAGUGUCUGAUUAUCCAUGAUGGAUUUGACCAUUCUCAUCAGGUAAAUCAGUAGGGCUAAGUUAUUCUGCACGACAUUGAUCUUCACUAAUGACAGUACAGUCUGUACAGAAUGAUUGAAACCGAAAAAUACAGAUGUGUUUUCCCAUUUCCAUAUUUUAACAUUGUACAGACCAAAGUAUUUGAUGAGGAAAAAUACGAAUCUUUGGUGAAUGGAACCCAGCUGAUCGAGAGCAGGGAUGCAUAUUUACUGAAAGAACAUGGAAUUACGAAGAAACUGGAGGUCAGACGGUCAGAGAAAGGACCCAAUCUGUUUAUCAAUCUUAUCAGCCAAGAAUGGGUUGAGGACAAGUUGCAAUACGGUUAUGGGGAGAAUCAAAAUUUUACUGAUUCUGCUUGUACACCCUGUUAUGGUGGACCCAGACCCAACGGAAAAACGUUUAGUAGUAUAUUUGAUGCUCUGUUUUAAUAGUGUUUACGCCGGUUGCUUCAGAAUUGUCAUCAACUGAUGGGACGCCGCAGGUUUGCAAAUGCUUUCAUGGACAUGCCUACUACUGUUUCAUCAACAUUGGUAGAAAUUAUUCAUUCUGUUGGCAAAACCGGAGAUACCACCGUGCAUUGUCUUCCGAGAGCUGAUAAUAUUCACGAACAAAUUAAGGAAGGUAUACUUAUACCCUUAACAAUCUUGAUUAUUGGAAUAAAUAUGUCCAUCUUGUUUUUGGUGGUGACGGACAAAAGGUUUUACAACCCCAAGGUGGCUUUUAUUUCUACCCUUGGCGUGGCGGAUCUCUUUGUAGGCGUUGUGUCUGUUGGAACAUUAAUAACGAAAGCGAAUGAGAAGACUUACGACCAUUGCCUUAUACGGAUCGGUUUCACCAUUUCUACUUGUGUUGCAUCCAUUCUCAGCCUAAUGUGUAUAGCCUUAGAACGGUUCAUUGCAAUUACAUAUUCUCUAAACUACAAAUCGCUCGUGUCUAGAAACAGGGUGGCCGCAACCAUUGCCGCAGUUUGGAUAGUUUCAAUGGGGAUUGGAUUCUUACCUUUACUCGGUUGGAGAAACGACAGCUAUUAUCAGUACUGUUCAUAUCUCUACGUUCUUUCCCCAAACUAUAUUAUAUCGAUAACAAUUAUUGGAGCACUGGUGCCUUUUAGCGUUAUGUUUGUGAUUUACAUUAAACUUUACCGAAAUGCAAGGUUUCACAUCAAGCGCAUCGAGGCCCUUGAAAACAUUAUGGUGGUAGAAAGCACGAGAAGAAACAUGGGCAUACUCCGAAUGUCGUCACGGAGCUGGAGGUCCCUUAAAACCAUGGUCUAUGUAUUCGGUUGUGUUCUGUUCACAUGGAGUCCAUUCGUUAUUGGGACGUUUGUACAAAUAUCAGUUGGCCAGGAUAUGUGUGUCCUAAAGGACAUAGUCGGGACGCAUCUCCUGGUGCUGGGAUUCUCAAAUUCUUUCUUGAAUCCUCUGAUAUACGUCCUUCGCACAAAAGACUUUCAGGAGAAAGUGAAGGAAAGGUUUGAGCGGUACAAAUUAUGUGCCAGUUAUACUCCCGACAAUAACAAUGAAUAACUGUUAUGAACACAUAGAAUUAUAUUUUUGGUGAAAUAAGAUUAAAUACAUGUGCUGUUAAUUUGUAAUACUGUUAAUUUUCAAUAAAUGUUAACGUUGAAUUAUU
rnacentral:sRNA from 1 species